rnacentral:rRNA from 1 species
AUUGAACGCUAGCGGGAUGCUUUACACAUGCAAGUCGAACGGCAGCACGAGAGAGCUUGCUCUCUUGGUGGCGAGUGGCGGACGGGUGAGUAAUAUAUCGGAACGUGCCCAGUAGCGGGGGAUAACUACUCGAAAGAGUGGCUAAUACCGCAUACGCCCUACGGGGGAAAGGGGGGGAUUCUUCGGAACCUCUCACUAUUGGAGCGGCCGAUAUCGGAUUAGCUAGUUGGUGGGGUAAAGGCUCACCAAGGCAAAGAUCCGUAGCUGGUUUGAGAGGACGACCAGCCACACUGGGACUGAGACACGGCCCAGACUCCUACGGGAGGCAGCAGUGGGGAAUUUUGGACAAUGGGGGAAACCCUGAUCCAGCCAUCCCGCGUGUAUGAUGAAGGCCUUCGGGUUGUAAAGUACUUUUGGCAGAGAAGAAAAGGUACCUCCUAAUACGAGGUACUGCUGACGGUAUCUGCAGAAUAAGCACCGGCUAACUACGUGCCAGCCGCCGCAGUAACAC